GACGAACGCUGGCGGCGUGCUUAACACAUGCAAGUCGUACGAUGAAGCCGGAGCUUGCUCUGGUGAAUUAGUGGCGAACGGGUGAGUAACACGUGAGUAACCUGCCCUUGACUCUGGGAUAACUGCUAGAAAUGGUAGCUAAUACCGGAUACGACCCUCGGAGGCAUCUCCAGGGGGUGGAAAGAAUUUCGGUCAAGGAUGGACUCGCGGCCUAUCAGCUAGUUGGUGAGGUAACGGCUCACCAAGGCGACGACGGGUAGCCGGCCUGAGAGGGUGACCGGCCACACUGGGACUGAGACACGGCACAGACUCCUACGGGAGGCAGCAGUGGGGAAUAUUGCACAAUGGGCGCAAGCCUGAUGCAGCAACGCCGCGUGAGGGAUGACGGCCUUCGGGUUGUAAACCUCUUUUAGUAGGGAAGAAGCGAAAGUGACGGUACCUGCAGAAAAAGCACCGGCUAACUACGUGCCAGCCGCCGCGGUAA
rnacentral:rRNA from 1 species